CGACUGUAAUGGUCAAAUUGGUUGAAGGCGCUUGCAAUUCUCAGACCGUCACUCCCGUGACCAUUAGAACCCCCGAUGCUGCGCCCAGUGCAAAUGCCGCGGUGGUCACCUAUCCACUUGGGUAGCCAGUGUUGAUUAGGUGGCCCUAGGAAAUGGAGAGGAUGCUUCAGGGAGGCUUCACGCUGCAGAGUAUCUCCCCCGUCGCAUGGUGUGUUGGAACACGAUUGGCUUGGGGACAUGGGGUGGUGGUCUGAGAUGGAGAUUGUCAACUCCGCGAUUCUUUUUU
rfam:Fungal sp. No.14919 DNA, contig: Contig0013.